AUUGAAACUAUAUAGAGAGGAUUUCCAAGGCCCCUGCACAAGGAUGACACACAAAUUCAUGAAGUGUUUUGUAUUAAA
rnacentral:snRNA from 14 species